rnacentral:tRNA from 1 species
GAGGGUAUAGCUCAGAGGUAGAGUGCAUGCUUAGCAUGCACGAGGUCCUGGGUUCAAUCCCCAGUACCUCCA